GCCGACGUAGCUCAAUUGGCAGAGCAAUCGCCUUGUAAGCGAUAGGUUAGGGGUUCAAGUCCCCUCGUCGGCUC
rnacentral:tRNA from 1 species